rnacentral:rRNA from 1 species
CGGUGGAGCAUGUGGUUUAAUUCGAAGCAACGCGAAGAACCUUACCAGGUCUUGACAUCCCGAUGCUAUUUCUAGAGAUAGAAAGUUACUUCGGUACAUCGGUGACAGGUGGUGCAUGGUUGUCGUCAGCUCGUGUCGUGAGAUGUUGGGUUAAGUCCCGCAACGAGCGCAACCCCUAUUGUUAGUUGCCAUCAUUCAGUUGGGCACUCUAGCGAGACUGCCGGUAAUAAACCGGAGGAAGGUGGGGAUGACGUCAAAUCAUCAUGCCCCUUAUGACCUGGGCUACACACGUGCUACAAUGGUUGGUACAACGAGAAGCAAGCCAGCGAUGGCAAGCAAAUCUCUAAAAGCCGAUCCCAGUUCGGAUUGCAGGCUGCAACUCGCCUGCAUGAAGUCGGAGUUGCUAGUAAUCGCGGAUCAGAAUGCCGCGGUGAAUGCGUUCCCGGGUCUU